rnacentral:rRNA from 1 species
CUACGGGAGGCAGCAGUAGGGAAUCUUCCACAAUGGACGCAAGUCUGAUGGAGCAACGCCGCGUGAGUGAAGAAGGUCUUCGGAUCGUAAAGCUCUGUUGUUGGUGAAGAAAGAUAGUGAGAGUAACUGCUCAUUAUUUGCCGGUAAUCAACCAGAAAGUCACGGCUAACUACGUGCCAGCAGCCGCGGUAAUA